rnacentral:rRNA from 1 species
CCCAGACUCCUACGGGAGGCAGCAGUGGGGGAUAUUGCACAAUGGGGGGAACCCUGAUGCAGCGACGCCGCGUGGGUGAAGGAGUGCUUCGGCAUGUAAAGCCCUAUCGGCAGGGAAGAAGCAAGACGGUACCUGACUAAGAAGCCCCGGCUAACUACGUGCCAGCAGCCGCGGUAAUAAGGAGGAUGCGAGCGUUAUCCGGAUUUAUUGGGUUUAAAGGGUGCGUAGGCGGAACAUUAAGUCAGCGGUAAAAUCGAGGGGCUCAACCCCUUUAAGCCGUUGAAACUGGUGAUCUUGAGUGGGCGAGAAGUAUGCGGAAUGCGUGGUGUAGCGGUGAAAUGCAUAGAUAUCACGCAGAACUCCGAUUGCGAAGGCAGCAUACCGGCUCCCGACUGACGCUGAGGCACGAAAGCGUGGGGAUCGAACAGGAUUAGAUACCCCCGUAU